rnacentral:rRNA from 1 species
CUCUGAUCAGCCAUGCCGCGUGCAGGAUGACUGCCCUAUGGGUUGUAAACUGCUUUUAUACAGGAAGAAACACUCCCUCGUGAGGGAGCUUGACGGUACUGUAAGAAUAAGGAUCGGCUAACUCCGUGCCAGCAGCCGCGGUAAUACGGAGGAUCCAAGCGUUAUCCGGAAUCAUUGGGUUUAAAGGGUCCGUAGGUGGAUGAUUAAGUCAGAGGUGAAAGUUUGCAGCUUAACUGUAAAAUUGCCUUUGAUACUGGUUAUCUUGAAUCAUUAUGAAGUAGUUAGAAUAUGUAGUGUAGCGGUGAAAUGCAUAGAUAUUACAUAGAAUACCAAUUGCGAAGGCAGACUACUAAUAAUGUAUUGACACUGAUGGACGAAAGCGUGGGGAGCGAACAGGAUUAGAUACCCUGGUAGUCCACGCCGUAAACGAUGGAUACUAGCUGUUCGGAUUUCGGACUGAAUGGCUAAGCCAAAGUGAAUAGUAUCCCCCCUGGAGAAUACCUUCCCCAGAAAGAAACUCGAGUACGGUCGCAAGACUAAAACUCAAAGGAAUUGACG